rnacentral:rRNA from 1 species
GAUCCUGGCUCAGGAUGAACGCUAGCGGCAGGCUUAACACAUGCAAGUCGAGGGGCAGCAUAAUGGAUAGCAAUAUCUAUGGUGGCGACCGGCGCACGGGUGCGUAACGCGUAUGCAACCUACCUUUAACAGGGGGAUAACGACUGAGAAAUUGGUACUAAUACCCCAUAAUAUCAUAGAAGGCAUCUUUANGGUUGAAAAUUCCGAUGGUUAGAGAUGGGCAUGCGUUGUAUUAG